AGUUUUUUAGUAUAAGAAGUAUUUUUGGUUUACAACCAAAAGGUCUGUGAAUACAACAGGAGGACUU
rnacentral:tRNA from 1 species